rnacentral:lncRNA from 1 species
AUUUUGUGUUUGUGUUUGUGUUUGUGUUUGCUUUUGUUUUUAUUCAUUUUAUUUUAUUAUGCACUGUACUUUUAUUAUUUUGUCUGCUUUUUUAUUUUUUUAUCCUUUUAUCUUCUCAUUCAUUUUUGCCUAUUUUCUUAUUAGUUUGCUCGGAAACAUGCACUUCAUUUAGAUUCGCCCACGAUUUCGAUUUUUAAUAUUCCGAUGAAUUCAUUCAAAUUUAGGAUAGUUUCAAUUCUUUUCCUCCUUAUGAUAUUGUACUUAUUCUGUGAUUUUAAUUGUUUGUACAUUGAGGGCAAUGUACAUCUUAAGUGUGGGGAGGAUUUUAUAUGUUUA